CUCUGUGGACCAGGCUGGCCUUGAACUCAGAGAUCCACCUGCCUCUACCUCCCAAGGGCUGAGAUUUAAAGUGUGCACCAGUGCACCCAGUGACAGGCUGCUGUUUUAAAACUGUAAGAUUUAUUGGUGCAACAACUGUUGAAAACACACUGUGGGUCCUUAAAACUAAAAGAAGAAAAACAAAAACAAAAAAAGAGAGUCCACCUGGCCCAGCAAUCUCAUGUAUGUGUACUCACCCUGAGAACUGAAAGUUGCCCGAAGCCACCGGCGCCCACCCCCUCCCAUUCUGGAAGUACUUUUAAGAUAGCCACAAGGGAGAAGCAGGCCAAGUGGCCAACAUGGGUGGAUGCAGAUGAAACACAGCCUAGUCACAUGGUGGAUGCUUCUCAGCCAGCCAUAACACAGGACGCACAGAACAUCCUUGCUCAUGUCAGUAAUUUUGGCACUCAGGAGGAGGAGGAGGAGGCAGGAGGAUCAGGAAUUCAAAUUUAUCCCUGUCUAACAUAUUUUGAGGAUACCUGGGCUACACAAGACCCCAUCUCAGCUGGGUAUUGUGUCAUAGGCCUUUAAUCCCAGCACUUGGGAGGCAGAGGCUGUAGAUCUCUAAGUUUGAGACUAGCCUGGUCUACAGAGCAGAGAGAGUUCGGGGAGAGAAACCCUGUCUUGAAAAAA
ensembl:sense_intronic